rnacentral:rRNA from 1 species
AUUGAACGCUGGCGGCAGGCCUAACACAUGCAAGUCGAACGGUAACAGGAAGAAGCUUGCUUCUUUGCUGACGAGUGGCGGACGGGUGAGUAAUGUCUGGGAAACUGCCUGAUGGAGGGGGAUAACUACUGGAAACGGUAGCUAAUACCGCAUAACGUCGCAAGACCAAAAAAAGGGGGGACCCUUCGGGCCUCUUGCCAUCGGAUGUGCCCAGAUGGGAUUAGCUAGUAGGUGGGUAACGGCUCACCUAGGCGACGAUCCCUAGCUGGUCUGAGAGGAUGACCAGCCACACUGGAACUGAGACACGGUCCAGACUCCUACGGGAGGCAGCAGUGGGGAAUAUUGCACAAUGGGCGCAAGCCUGAUGCAGCCAUGCCGCGUGUAUGAAGAAGGCCUUC